rnacentral:rRNA from 1 species
AGAGUUUGAUCCUGGCUCAGGAUGAACGCUAGCGGUAUGCUUAACACAUGCAAGUCGUACGGAAAAGCAAUUUUUAGUGGCGAACGGGUGAGUAACGCGUGAGAAUUUGCCUUUAGGAAGGGGAUAACAAUUAGAAAUAUUUGCUAAAACCCUAUAUGCCUGCAAAGGUGAAAAAAGAAAUUUGCCUAAAGAGAAGCUCGCGUCUGAUUAGCUAGUUGGUAGGGUAAAAGCCUACCAAGGCGACGAUCAGUAGCUGGUCUGAGAGGAUGAUCAGCCACACUGGAACUGAGACACGGUCCAGACUCCUACGGGAGGCAGCAGUGAGGAAUAUUCUGCAAUGGGCGAAAGCCUGACAGAGCAAUACCGCGUGAGGGAUGAAGGCCUGUGGGUUGUAAACCUCUUUUCUCAAGGAGGAAGAAAUGACGUUACUUGAGGAAUAAGCAUCGGCUAACCCUGUG